UUCUUAUUGGAUGAUGACGGGUGUCAUGUUCUGAUUGAUCAACGACAACAACAAUGCAUUUCAUCUUCCAUAAAGUUGACAUCCAAUCAGAACAUGACACGUGAUAGUCAUCAUCC
rnacentral:pre_miRNA from 1 species